UGGGGGAUUUUGCACAAUGGGCGCAAGCCUGAUGCAGCGACGCCACGUGAGGGAUGAAGGCCUUCGGGUUGUAAACCUCUUUCGCUGGGUUGAAAGGCCAUGCUUUGGGUGUGGUUGAUUUGAACUGGUAAAGAAGUACCGGCUAACUACGUGCCAGCAGCCGCGGUAAUACGUAGGGUACUAGCGUUGUCCGGAUUUAUUGGGCGUAAAGGGCUUGUAGGUGGUUUGUCGCGUCUGUCGUGAAAUCCUGUGGCUUAACCAUGGGCUUGCGGUGGGUACGGGCAGGCUUGAGUGCGGUAGGGGAGACUGGAAUUCCUGGUGUAGCGGUGGAAUGCGCAGAUAUCAGGAGGAACACCGGUGGCGAAGGCGGGUCUCUGGGCCGUUACUGACACUGAGGAGCGAAAGCGUGGGGAGCGAACAGG
rnacentral:rRNA from 1 species